UCAAUGCUCACCGAACACAGAUACCGAAUAAAAGAGUCUUACAUCCAUACAUACCGUUUGAUACAAUAAAUGACCACCUCGGUCGAGUCUUACAUAGAAAGGGCCAAAGCACCAAACUAGACCAAUAGCGGAAUUAUUGGUUGAAAGCGUGAACCCAUGCCAUCAGCCUUAACCUACAGGCAUUCUGACUGGGAGGCAUCCUAGCUCGCAAGAACGUCAUCGAGUUAAUCUUCACCAUAUCAUGUUCUUUCACACUUGGUCAAUGAAAUAACCAGUGGCAAGCCAAUGAGUACGUUGAAUGUACUCGCAAACAGCCCAUGACAUGAACAACGAAAGUGAAGGAUGACAAUAUCAUGCAUCCUUAGUGUAACUCAUCUGGGUAGAAUGAUCAUGAAUAUGCAUCAAGUUAUAGAAUUACUCUCGAAGAACAUGCAACAGAUAUCGACAUAUCUGCUAAGGGCUGAACCAUCCGAGUUCACCCUAUACGCCAAGUCACCAAACUUGGUCAUAUUAUUAUUUCAUAACAACACCUUUUUAACACCACACACACA
rnacentral:lncRNA from 1 species